AAACACCACCGUUGUCAGAGUGAAAUAUAAAGAUCAGAAGAAAUAUGUGUUUUCUCCAACAACAUUUACAUUCGAGUCAUUUUUGGAAUGUGUUGCCAGGAAAUUUGACCUUCCGACAAUGGACAUUAAAGUCUUUGAUGAGUCAAGGACCGAGGUUGAUCAGGAAGCUUUUGCAUACUUGAUGAAGCAGCCAGAUGUUCAUGUCCUGGAAAUUGAUAUCCCAGAGGAAGGAACAUCUGAAGAUUCCGUUAGCUCAGGCUCCCUUGCUGAUGCUGAGGCUAGUUCUGGAUCUGAUGACACUGUGAUACUGACCCCUAGCCCAAGACAAUUAAAACAAGGAGAGGAACGUCGUCUUGCCCAAAUGGUUGAAGACAUCUUAAAAGGAAGCCCAGGAGGGGACAAGAUCAUGAAUGAAUAUGCUCGGACAAAGUACCUGUCAGAUAGCAGAAGGCGUGACCUGGUGAAGAUAUUGGUUGCUCAUAUGACAAAUGAACAUGGAACAAGCCCACCUCGGCAUGUGAAGGAAGACUACGCACUGGGUAUCAUCUCCCUCUUCCCCUAUUUGGCUGACCCAAGGAGCAAGCUUGGCUAUGAACAUUAUUACAACGCAGAAGAUGGAAGUGGCUAUUUGGCUUGGAGAAUUAAAACUCUGCAGAAAGAAGCAUCAGAGGGACGAGUUAAACGUCCACGACCUUCACAAGCAGGUGACUUAUUUAAGUUAUUGUUGAAACACAUAAUAGCACACAGUUUAUGGUUAUAUUUGAUUAUCUCUCAUAGCUAAUAUGGCCAUCAAGUGCAGGGACUUGUAGUUUAAAUCAAACACCGUCUGUAGUUUUGAGAAUACUUUGAUGUCUGGGAAAAUAAUAAGUAAGUGCAUUUUGUAUGUAUAUUUUCUGU